CUGGCUACAGAACGAACGCUGGCGGCGCGUCUUAAGCAUGCAAGUCGAACGGCAAGAGGUAGUAAUACCUCCUAGAGUGGCGGACUGGUGAGUAACACGUGGGUGACAUACCCUUCAGAUGGGGAUAGCUAUUAGAAAUAGUAGAUAAUACCGAAUACGAGCACAGGGGUUAGAGAUCUGUGAGGAAAGGAGCUAAGGCUCCGCUGAAGGAAUGGCCUGCGGCCCAUUAGCUAGUUGGUGAGGUAAGAGCCCACCAAGGCGAUGAUGGGUAUCCGGCCUUAGAGGGUGAACGGACACAUUGGGACUGAGAUACGGCCCAGACUCCUACGGGAGGCAGCAGCUAAGAAUAUUCCGCAAUGGACGAAAGUCUGACGGAGCGACGCCGCGUGGAUGAAGAAGGCCGGAAGGUUGUAAAAUCCUUUUGAAACUGAAGAAUAAGCGUUGUAGGGAAUGACAGCGUGGUGACAGUAGGUUUUGAAUAAGCAACGGCUAAUUACGUGCCAGCCGCGGC
rnacentral:rRNA from 1 species